GGAUGUGAGGGUGAUCGGAUUGUGACAUCUGUCACUGCAUUGAUCACCAGGGUUCAUCUGGCUGAUCUGGCUGGGUCGGCGGGUGUCCCCCUCCUCCCUCACUGUUCCAAGCGCGUCCUCCUGCAGCUGUGUGCUCCGUGGAGGAGGAUGACUGCUGGACAGAGGAGGACUGUUCUUCUGUCAAGGGUACAGGAGUAACUGGGCUCCCCUGCUAGAAUCGCCAAACAAGCUCUCAAGGUCCAUUUGUAGGAGAACGUAGGGUGUCAACCUUCCAAGACUCCAGAAGCAAAAAUUAAAUAAAUAAAAGAAAAGUCAACUUUAUAACAAU
rnacentral:snRNA from 1 species